GACGAACGCUGGCUUCGUGCUUAACACAUGCAAGUCGAACGGAAAGGCCCUGCUUUUGUGGGGUGCUCGAGUGGCGAACGGGUGAGUAACACGUGAGUAACCUGCCCUUGACUUUGGGAUAACUUCAGGAAACUGGGGCUAAUACCGGAUAGGAGCUCCUGCUGCAUGGUGGGGGUUGGAAAGUUUCGGCGGUUGGGGAUGGACUCGCGGCUUAUCAGCUUGUUGGUGGGGUAGUGGCUUACCAAGGCUUUGACGGGUAGCCGGCCUGAGAGGGUGACCGGCCACAUUGGGACUGAGAUACGGCCCAGACUCCUACGGGAGGCAGCAGUGGGGAAUAUUGCACAAUGGGCGGAAGCCUGAUGCAGCAACGCCGCGUGCGGGAUGACGGCCUUCGGGUUGUAAACCGCUUUCGCCUGUGACGAAUCGUGAGUGACGGUAAUGGGUAAAGAAGCACCGGCUAACUACGUGCCAGCAGCCGCGGUGAUACGUAGGGUGCGAGCGUUGUCCGGAUUUAUUGGGCGUAAAGGGCUCGUAGGUGGUUGAUCGCGUCGGAAGUGUAAUCUUGGGGCUUAACCCUGAGCGUGCUUUCGAUACGGGUUGACUUGAGGAAGGUAGGGGAGAAUGGAAUUCCUGGUGGAGCGGUGGAAUGCGCAGAUAUCAGGAGGAACACCAGUGGCGAAGGCGGUUCUCUGGGCCUUUCCUGACGCUGAGGAGCGAAAGCGUGGGGAGCGAACAGGCUUAGAUACCCUGGUAGUCCACGCUGUAAACGGUGGGUACUAGGUGUGGGGUCCAUUCCACGGGUUCCGUGCCGUAGCUAACGCUUUAAGUACCCCGCCUGGGGAGUACGGCCGCAAGGCUAAAACUCAAAGGAAUUGACGGGGCCCCGCACAAGCGGCGGAGCAUGCGGAUUAAUUCGAUGCAACGCGUAGAACCUUACCUGGGUUUGACAUGGAUCGGGAGCGCUCAGAGAUGGGUGUGCCUCUUUUGGGGUCGGUUCACAGGUGGUGCAUGGCUGUCGUCAGCUCGUAUCGUGAGAUGUUGGGUUAAGUCCCGCAACGAGCGCAACCCUUGUUCACUGUUGCCAGCACGUUAUGGUGGGGACUCAGUGGAGACCGCCGGGGUCAACUCGGAGGAAGGUGGGGAUGACGUCAAGUCAUCAUGCCCCUUAUGUCCAGGGCUUCACGCAUGCUACAAUGGCUGGUACAGAGAGUGGCGAGCCUGUGAGGGUGAGCGAAUCUCGGAAAGCCGGUCUCAGUUCGGAUUGGGGUCUGCAACUCGACCUCAUGAAGUCGGAGUCGCUAGUAAUCGCAGAUCAGCAACGCUGCGGUGAAUACGUUCCCGGGGCU
rnacentral:rRNA from 1 species